UACGUAGGUGGCAAGCGUUAUCCGGAUUUACUGGGUGUAAAGGGCGUGUAGGCGGGAUGGUAAGUCAGAUGUGAAAACUAUGGGCUCAACCCAUAGCCUGCAUUUGAAACUAUCGUUCUUGAGUGUUGGAGAGGCAGGCGGAAUUCCGUGUGUAGCGGUGAAAUGCAUAGAUAUCACGCAGAACUCCGAUUGCGAAGGCAGCUUACUAAGCCAUAACUGACACUGAAGCACGAAAGCGUGGGGAUCAAACAGG
rnacentral:rRNA from 1 species